rnacentral:rRNA from 1 species
CCCCUAACGCGGCUGGAUCGAAUAGUGCUGAGCGGCUUUCCCUUUAAGUUUUAGCGUUUGCGUUGUUGCCUUUGUGCGUGUGCGUUUUUUCUUUUAUUUAUUUAUCAUUCUCUUUAGGAGCUAGGUUAGGCAAGGUCGGGUAUGGUUAGCAUGUUGGUCGGCUGCUGACGCCGUAGCUGCCGCUGCCGCAGCUGUCCUUGGGUCGCCGCUGGGGGAGGCCGGCGGGGAGACGAGGCGCGGCGUAGCCCUUUGGGACGGCGCUAGGAGGUCGGUGCGGCGGGGGGCGCACGGGUGAGCCGAGCAAGCCGGUUUAGGCCAGGAGGCGGGCGCCCCAGGGCUAAACGCCGAUCAGGACGCCUAACGCGCCGCGGUUGGGACCUCUCUCUCUGCCCGCAACUGCCUGCCAACGCCGCGUGUCACCACGGUGGUACAACGUGACGGACCUCCCCCACUCCGUGGACACGCGCCACGAGGAGUUGGAGUUCACAACGCUGUAGCUGGAGUUCGUCGGGUUCCCGGACCUCCUAGGGCUUCAGGAGCGGUCCCUCUGGCACAAAUCGCAGUCACUCCAGCUUCGCGACAUGCUCGACAAGUUCUUCUAGUCGUCACGACACUAUCUACUGCCCGACUAGUUGUUCCUCCUCAAAGUCAACCGCGAAAAGUUCUGGUCAUUCUUCCUCUCAAACAAACGACUAGCACAGAAACUAAACAAACUGUGUUUUGUGUUGCCUUAAGAUCCUAAACUUCUUAAACGGGCACGCAAUAGUCAUAAAGUAGGUUCACGGCGAGGACUACUCUUUUAACUGAAGAGAAAGGUCGAAAUACUAGACUUCGUUGUUCCAAAGUAACUUUCUGUUCUCCAAUUCGUUUACCAACAACGAUGUGAACGACUUAGUCCUUACUUAGAAAGUCUGCUUCAGUAUCUCUCGUAGUAACUAUUCUGAAAGCUCCUCCGUCUGUGUUUUGUACUACCCUUUUAACUGUUUCUUCUUACCGCGUUAGAUCAGGAGUCUGUAGGGAGUAAUGACUUCUUGUACUGUGAUGUUAUAGAGUUCGUCCACACUGAUGCUUCACAAUUCAUCAUAAAGACAAAGUUCAAGUUGGUUCCCUCACGCAUCAUCAAGGCCGAAGUUUCCCCUAUAUGACCUCCCUGUAGUGGUGGUGUAAAGGUUCGAAACACAAGGUAAGAGUCCAGCUGCUAUGUAUUUCAGGACUCUCACAAAAGUGAAGCUACCUUAUAGUCUUCUGCCAGAGUGACGAAACAAUUCGAAAGGUUAACGGCCGGCUACCAAGUCGCCUUCAGUAGCAUCACAAGGCUUCGUAUGACGUAUGACACAAGCUAAUAAGGCGACCAAAUAAACACAAGUAUUACAAAAAAAAGAAAUCGAAUCCCACCCCACCAUCAUCUAGUCUUACAAGUUUCAAAGAAAACAAAAACAUGUUUUUUUUUGACCAAACUGGGAAAUCAAUUGACACAUACAUAAGACACACCCCUUGAAAGGAUGACAUAUAAUACCUAACUUGACUUGCCUCGUCUUUACGGAAACGACUAUUUCAAACAGUGUUAAAUAACAAAAGAAAUUCCCCUAUGAAAAAAAAG